GGGAAUAGUAGUCAUGAUUGGAACAUUAGGAGGCGCUGAAGAUUCAGGAACGCCCGAAGAAGGAGACGGCAUCGAACCCAAUGGAGCAGGGGGUUGAGGAAGUUGUUCAAGAUUAGAACCAGGGGCUCUAAUCAUCGCCAUUAUCCGAGCACCAGAGCUCUGAGCCGGAUUGUUCUGAGGGACAACGAUAUUGACCGGAGGAGGAGAAGGCUGAAGCGGCGG
rnacentral:misc_RNA from 1 species